rnacentral:rRNA from 1 species
GAUGAACGCUGGCGGCGUGCCUAAUACAUGCAAGUCGAGCGAACAGAUGAGGAGCUUGCUCCUCUGACGUUAGCGGCGGACGGGUGAGUAACACGUGGAUAACCUACCUAUAAGACUGGGAUAACUUCGGGAAACCGGAGCUAAUACCGGAUAAUAUAUUGAACCGCAUGGUUCAAUAGUGAAAGACGGUUUUGCUGUCACUUAUAGAUGGAUCCGCGCCGCAUUAGCUAGUUGGUAAGGUAACGGCUUACCAAGGCAACGAUGCGUAGCCGACCUGAGAGGGUGAUCGGCCACACUUGAACUGAGACACGGUCCAGACUCCUACGGGAGGCAGCAGUAGGGAAUCUUCCGCAAUGGGCGAAAGCCUGACGGAGCAACGCCGCGUGAGUGAUGAAGGUCUUCGGAUCGUAAAACUCUGUUAUUAGGGAAGAACAAAUGUGUAAGUAACUAUGCACGUCUUGACGGUACCUAAUCAGAAAGCCACGGCUAACUACGU